GGUACAGAGUCAAUGUGGAGGCUAUAUACAGGGGGUACCGGUACAGAGUCAAUGUGGAGGCUAUAUACAGGGGGUAUCGGUACAGACUCAAUGUGGAGGCUAUAUACAGGGGGUACCGGUACAGAGUCAAUGUGGAGGCUAUAUACAGUGGGUACCGGUACAGAGUCAAUGUGGAGGCUAUAUACAGUGGGUACCGGUACAGAGUCAAUGUGGAGGCUAUAUACAGGGGGUACCGGUACAGAGUCAAUGUGGAGGCUAUAUACAGGGGGUACCGGUACAGAGUCAAUGUGGAGGCUAUAUACAGGGGGUACCGGUACAGAGUCAAUGCGGAGGCUAUAUACAGGGAGUAGUUGUACAGAGUCAAUGUGGAGGCUAUAUACAGGGGGGUACCGGUACAGAGUCAAUGUGGAGGCUAUAUACAGGGGGUACCGGUACAGAGUCAAUGUGGAGGCUAUAUACAGGGGGUACCGGUACAGAGUCAAUGUGGAGGCUAUAUACAGGGGGUACCGGUACAGAGUCAAUGUGGAGGCUAUAUACAGGGGGUACCGGUACAGAGUCAAUGUGGAGGAUAUAUACAGGGGGUACCGGUACAGAGUCAAUGUGGAGGCUAUAUACAGGGGGUACCGGUACAGAGUCAAUGUGGAGGCUAUAUACAGGGGUUACCGGUACAGAGUCAAUGUGGAGGCUAUAUACAGGGUAUUACGGUACAGAGUCAAUGUGGAGGCUAUAUACAGGGGGUACCAGUACAGAGUCAAUGUGGAGGCUAUAUACAGGGUAUUACGGUACAGAGUCAAUGUGGAGGCUAUAUACAGGGGGAACCGGUACAGAGUCAAUGUGGAGGCUAUAUACAGGG
rnacentral:lncRNA from 1 species